UAACUUAGGGAGAAGGGGUGCCUACGAGAGUAGGCCGCAGUGAAUAGGCUCAAGCAACUGUUUAUCAAAAACACAGGUCUCUGCUAAAGCGUAAGCUGAUGUAUAGGGGCUGACGCCUGCCCGGUGCUGGAAGGUUAAGGGGAAUAGUUAGCGCAAGCGAAGCUAUGAACUUAAGCCCCAGUAAACGGCGGCCGUAACUAUAACGGUCCUAAGGUAGCGAAAUUCCUUGUCGGGUAAGUUCCGACCCGCACGAAUGGCGUAAUGAUUUGAGCACUGUCUCGGCAAUAAAUCCGGUGAAAUUGUAGUGCAAGUGAAGAUGCUUGCUACCCGCGGUUGGACGGAAAGACCCCGUAGAGCUUUACUGUAGCUUAGCAUUGAAUUUCGGUAUUGUCUGUACAGGAUAGGUGGGAGACUUAGAAGCGAGGGCGUCAGCUUUCGUGGAGUCGUCCUUGGGAUACCACCCUGACAGUACUGGAAUUCUAACUGGAGGCCAUGAAUCUGGUCACAGGACAUUGCUAGGUGGGCAGUUUGACUGGGGCGGUCGCCUCCUAAAAGGUAACGGAGGCGCCCAAAGGUUCCCUCAGCGCGGUCGGAAAUCGCGCGUAGAGUGCAAAGGCAGAAGGGAGCCUGACUGCGACACAUACAGGUGGAGCAGGGACGAAAGUCGGGCUUAGUGAUCCGGGGGUUCUGUAUGGAAGGGCCAUCGCUCAACGGAUAAAAGCUACCUCGGGGAUAACAGGCUGAUCUCCCCCAAGAGUCCACAUCGACGGGGAGGUUUGGCACCUCGAUGUCGGCUC
rnacentral:rRNA from 1 species